GGGUGCGAUCACAACAGCAUUAAUGCACCGGAUCUGAUCAGAACUCCGCUGUUAAGCGUGCAUGGGCGAGAGUAGUACUAGGAUGGGUGACCUCCUGGGAAGUCCUCGUGUUGCACCCC
rfam:Gossypium raimondii Chr06_contig_386, whole genome shotgun sequence.